rnacentral:miRNA from 1 species
AGAGGUAGGUGUGGAAGAA